GACAGAGGAUGCAAGCGUUAUCCGGAAUGAUUGGGCGUAAAGCGUCUGUAGGUGGCUUUUUAAGUCCGCCGUCAAAUCCCAGGGCUCAACCCUGGACAGGCGGUGGAAACUACCAAGCUGGAGUACGGUAGGGGCAGAGGGAAUUUCCGGUGGAGCGGUGAAAUGCGGUAGAGUAUCAGGAGGAACACCGAUGGCGAAGGCAGCUCUCUGGCCUAUAACUGACGUGAGGUGCGAAAGCGUGGGGAGCAAACGGG
rnacentral:rRNA from 1 species